rnacentral:rRNA from 1 species
GUAAUCACUUGUGCCCUAAAUAGGGACUAGUAUGAAUGGUUAAAUGAGGGCCUGUCUCCUGUGGCCAAUCAAUGAAACUGAUCUUCCAGUAAAAAGGCUGGAAUAAACCCACAAGACGAGAAGACCCUAUGGAGCUUUAAAUUGAUACACCACCACACCAAUUCUACACCGACAUGGACCAACAAUAAAAGAGAUAGUGUAGAUUUUAAGUUGGGGCAUCUACGGAAUUAAAAAAAUCUUCCACGUACAAGGACACAACAUCCAGUAAAGGCCAACAAGCCAAAAAUACCCCAGAAAACGACCCAGUAGUACUGAUCACCGAACCAAGUUACCCCAGGGAUAACAGCGCAAUCCUCUUCUAGAGUUCCUAUCGCCAAGAGGGUUUACGACCUCAAUGUUGGAUCAGGACCCCCAAGCGGUGCAGCCGCUACCAAUGGUUCGUUUGNUCAACGAUUAAUGUCCUACGUGAUCU